rnacentral:misc_RNA from 1 species
GUUAAGUUUCCUGUGUUGCGUACCUACCGGAUGGAAUUCGCACGACCCAACGACGGACGUCCUUCCAGCGACGUGCCCGCCCCUCGUGCGGGCGCGGCGCGGGACGGACCGAGAGGGCGCGUCCGUGCUCAGAGCCACACGCCAUGCGAUGCAUGUCUCCCCACGGACUGCCUCCCGAGCUCUCUGACGCAGUCCACCAAGAGGGCAGGGGGUCGCACGACCGCCUCCGUUUGCCCGAGCUCGGUGUCAAUCGCCCGCACCGAACGACUGACGUCGUCGCCUCGAGACGCCGCACCCCCCCGGGCGUGUCGGCCGGCCUCGUGCGGUGACGGCAUCGGCUAGGA